rnacentral:rRNA from 1 species
GGUAACCUGCCCAUGUGCCCGGGAUAACUUCUGGAAACGGAUGCUAAAACCGGAUAGGUAGCAGACAAGCAUUUGACUGCUAUUAAAGUGGCUAAGGCCAUGAACAUGGAUGGACCUGCGGUGCAUUAGCUAGUUGGUGAGGUAACGGCCCACCAAGGCGACGAUGCAUAGCCGGCCUGAGAGGGCGGACGGCCACAUUGGGACUGAGACACGGCCCAAACUCCUACGGGAGGCAGCAUG